AAGUUCAUUGUUUACCUCAUUCGAAAUGAGGGGAUGGAGUGAAAGACUGGCCAAUCUAUUUACUAAAACUGCAGGUGUAGUGAACAGCCUUUUUCUCAGUUUACGGUAUUUAUGAUGAUCUAAAAUCCCAAAGAGGUCACUCAAUGAUGCCGAAAAUUUUGCUGUAGUGUGUCCUUGCUUGUGUAACAGUGUCGGAUGAGUUUAAAUGAGUCGCCAAAACACUAACUCCGUAUCUUCAACUUGUAUUCUUGAAACGAGAUGAUAUAAUUGCGUAUGGAUUGCCGGGGUUUUA